rnacentral:tRNA from 1 species
GCGUUUGUAGCCAAGUGGUUAAGGCGCUGGUCUGUGGAUCCAGUACUCGCGGGUUCGAAUCCCGUCAUUCGCCC